CUGAGUCUUAAUUUCUUUACUGUCAACUGCUCCCCCUUACUGUUACUAUUUCCUUCAGGAUGAUAAACACUGGAGUUGAUAAAUGGGUAAGAUCAGUGAUAAUAUCAAAGAUUUAAACAGGUGCUGGAGAUGGAAUCUGAAUAUAUAGCAGGAUCCUUAAUUCUGACAAUCCCCCCCUUUAAGUCUGGCUUGCUUUCCUCUACCUUGCAGACCUUAUGUGGAUUGUCAUUUUAAUUUCCCCUUGGAAGUUCGCCCAUGGCUCAGACAUGCUACUACUUCAGUAAAUUAAAAACUGACAAAAGCAGCAUUAGCAAAAAGUAAUGCUAAAUGUUGGUGAAUGACUGCAGAGAGCUAUCAGGAUAGAAUGUAUUCUGGAGGAUGGUGGUAAGACUGACAAUGUUUGAUAGUGUCAGAAGUGAUCUGCAAGAAGGAGCAGAGAUUGUAUUAGUGACACCCUCAAACAUAGGCAGGGCAUAAGGGGAAAACUUGCAAAUCACAAAUCAACAGGAAAAAUUAAUGAGGAAUAAAUAAAACACAUAAAAAGAAAGAAAAGAAAAUUAAUGUCUCCAGCAAGAAAAUAAUCUUGUAUGUACUAGAGAUUUCAGCCCAGGACAGCAUCGUCUCCAGCUGCUGAUUUGUGAUCUAGCUCUCACAUCUGCUUUGGAAGCACAGGCACUAGAUCUACUUUUCAGGAAUCCUUUUACUCUGACUUCCCUUUGUUCUCCUUCCUGGAAGUUCAGGCCCCAUGGCAUGUUACCCAUCUAAUGCUCUGAUCCCCUGCUUCCUCUAGGACUUUUCCUGACACCCUCUGCAGAGCUGAGAACCUCUGGUGACGUUUCCUUCAGGAUAGUGUGACAUUUAAAGCAGAGGGCACAAACCCUGCAAUGGAAUUUGUAAACACACAAGGAAACCAGAAACAGCAGCUAACAGAAGAAAGCAAGAAAUUGCCGAGAUAUCUUGGAGGAGUAAUCAGCAUCAUUGGUAAAAUCUGUAGCGUACAGUUUCUCCUGUAUGUGCUGUAGAAAUUUGUAAUGAAUGCAAGUGUGGUGCUUUUAAAACUGCAUGUACUGAAGAGCUGAAUUCUGUAAGGUGCUUGAAUUGGCCUAAGU
rnacentral:lncRNA from 1 species